AUGACGGCCGCGAAGGUGGACAUGGGAAGGAGGUUGUCUCGUAUUACUGGCCAAGGGAAAGAUGGAGAAUUACAGAUGUUUUGGACAUUUUCGAAGCUGCUGCUGUCGUUGAUUGCAGGAGAACAACACGACGACACACCGCACACAGCACAAGCUAGCGGCGAGUACGGUGGUACGGCCACCGCCUGCACAUCCAUCUACAAGCUCGAGCUCCCCUCGCCGGCCCGUUGUCACGAUGAUGCCGACGCCGCCGUCGCCGCCAUCGAGCCGCGGGAGGCCAUGAACGUGGAUUCGAAGGCGUCCUACCUCAUCCAGAUCAAGAACCCCGAGCAGCCGCCAUCCUCCGAUGGUCGUGGC
rnacentral:lncRNA from 2 species